rnacentral:sRNA from 1 species
AUAGAGACUUUCUUUAAAAAAAGAAAAGUAGGUUCUUCACACCAUUUCUCAGGAAACUGUUGGAGGAUGUUCUUAAGCAUAGCAAAGGAAUAAACCAAGAAAGAGGAAGACAUGGGAUCUAGGAAAUAGGAGAUCUGUUACAAGAGAGUGAUGAUCCAGGGAGGACAGCUGGUCCAGAUUGGGACAGAUCGGAAGGUUACGUGAGACUGCUACAGAAAGAUGAAAACUGAUAGGAAAAGAGAUUUAAAUAUUGGUCAGAAAGUUAGGGAUAUAUGCAUAAAAAACUAAGCAAAUUGAGAAACAGCAGGCUGUUUUUAACAUAGUCUAGAAGCAUGUUAUUUAAGGUAGUUAUAAUCAACGCCAAAAUAAUCAGAAGAGGUGGAAGUGAUUGGCUGUGGGGAAGGGAGAAUGGCAAGGCUGGCUGAUUUUAUAACAGAUCUUUAUAGAGCCAUUUGACUCUAGGAACUGCAUAUAUAACUGAUGAAAGUAAAUAACUAAAAAAGCUUGUCCAGCUUGAUUAAAAGUGAUAUUUAUAAUUUUUGCAAAAAUUACUAAGGAAGUUGGAAUAUUUUGACAGAUAUAUUUUUUAAUCUCAAAUCUUCCUAUCAUCUGAACACACAUCAAAACCUUGAGAGCAGAAACCAGUGGUCGGUCCUUUCAGAGUUGGAGAGUCUGGGAUUCUGUUGUCAGACUGUGUUCCCUGAGGCUUUUCUUUGUCUCCUUAAUGACCUUGCACUUAAGUCAGGUCUGUAUACAGGAAAAUCUCUAUCUCAGCAGCCAUGGAGUACCCCAGAUCAAGCACCCUAUUCUGGUGGAAGUUCGGGGAGGCAGAGGCAGCACCAAGAAGAUGUAGCUUCUACUCUUGGCAUAUAGUGAAAAGAACUAGACGCAUCUCGAUUGAAAACCACAUACCAUUCUCUGCUAUACCCUUUACCAGCAACCUUGCUUAAGUCGAUUUACUUCAUUGUCAGUUUUCCCAUCUGAAAAAUGGGAUUAUGAUAAUGCUUAUCUUUUUGGAUAGUUGA